rnacentral:rRNA from 1 species
AUUGAACGCUGGCGGCAGGCUUAACACAUGCAAGUCGAACGAGUGGCGGACGGGUGAGUAAUGCAUCGGAAUGUAGCUAGUGGAGGGGGAUAACUACUGGACACUGUAGCUAAUACCGCAUACCAUAGGAGGAGCCCAAAUGGGAUGAGGUAGUUGGUGGGGUAAAGGCUCACCAAGACGACGAUCGCUAGCUGGUUUGAGAGGACGACCAGCCACACUGGGACUGAGACACGGCCCAGACUCCUACGGGAGGCAGCAGUGGGGAAUAUUGGACAAUGGGGGAAACCCUGAUCCAGCCAUCCCGCGUGUAUGAAGAAGGCCUUCGGGUUGUAAAGUACUUUCGGUAGAGAGGCGGUAACUACAGAAGAAGCACCGGCUAACUACGUGCCAGCAGCCGCGGUAAUAC